rnacentral:rRNA from 1 species
GGCCUAACACAUGCAAGUCGAGCGGUAGAGAGAAGCUUGCUUCUCUUGAGAGCGGCGGACGGGUGAGUAAUACCUAGGAAUCUGCCUGAUAGUGGGGGAUAACGUUCGGAAACGGACGCUAAUACCGCAUACGUCCUACGGGAGAAAGCAGGGGACCUUCGGGCCUUGCGCUAUCAGAUGAGCCUAGGUCGGAUUAGCUAGUUGGUGAGGUAAUGGCUCACCAAGGCUACGAUCCGUAACUGGUCUGAGAGGAUGAUCAGUCACACUGGAACUGAGACACGGUCCAGACUCCUACGGGAGGCAGCAGUGGGGAAUAUUGGACAAUGGGCGAAAGCCUGAUCCAGCCAUGCCGCGUGUGUGAAGAAGGUCUUCGGAUUGUAAAGCACUUUAAGUUGGGAGGAAGGGCAGUUACCUAAUACGUGAUUGUCUUGACGUUACCGACAGAAUAAG